ensembl:lncRNA
CAGCAUUGCUGAACUCUAUCAGCCGAGUUUAGGAACAGAGAAUGCCCAGCAGAUAUGUGACAGAGAAGUGUGUUUUCUGGUGUUUGGGUGAGUGGGGGGG